GACGAACGCUGGCGGCGUGCUUAACACAUGCAAGUCGAACGGAAAGGCCCUGCUUUUGUGGGGUGCUCGAGUGGCGAACGGGUGAGUAACACGUGAGUAACCUGCCCUUCACUUUGGGAUAACUUCAGGAAACUGGGGCUAAUACCGGAUAGGAUCUCCUGCUGCAUGGUGGGGGUUGGAAAGUUUCGGCGGUUGGGGAUGGACUCGCGGCUUAUGAGCUUGUUGGUGGGGUAGUUGCUUACCAAGGCUUUGACGGGUAGCCGGCCUGGGGGGGUGACCGGCCCAAUGGGGCUGAGGAAGGCGCCAGCGGCCAAUAGGGGGCAAGGGGGGGGAAAUUUUGAAAAAGGGGGGGAGGCGGAGACGAAGACCCCCGGGUCGGAAAGGCGGUCUUCGGGGUGUGAAAAGCAUUCGGCUGAGAACCAGCGGUAGUGACGGUAAUGGGGGAAGAAACACCGGCUAACUUCGUG
rnacentral:rRNA from 1 species